rnacentral:rRNA from 1 species
GAGUUUGAUCAUGGCUCAGGAUGAACGCUAGCGACAGGCCUAACACAUGCAAGUCGAGGGGCAGCGGGGAGCGAAGCUUGCUUUGCUCCGCCGGCGACCGGCGCACGGGUGAGUAACGCGUAUGCAACCUGCCCGUUUCAGCGGGAUAACCCGGAGAAAUCCGGCCUAAUACCGCAUGUGGCCGAGGGGAGGCAUCUUCUUUCGGCCAAAGGAGGCAACUCCGGAGACGGAUGGGCAUGCGUGACAUUAGCUUGUUGGCGGGGUAACGGCCCACCAAGGCGACGAUGUCUAGGGGUUCUGAGAGGAAGGUCCCCCACACUGGUACUGAGACACGGACCAGACUCCUACGGGAGGCAGCAGUGAGGAAUAUUGGUCAAUGGGCGAGAGCCUGAACCAGCCAAGUCGCGUGAAGGAUGACGGCCCUAUGGGUUGUAAACUUCUUUUGUCAGGGAGCAAUUGAGUCCACGUGUGGGCUUAGCGAGAGUACCUGAAGAAAAAGCAUCGGCUAACUCCGUGCCAGCAGCCGCGGUAAUACGGAGGAUGCGAGCGUUAUCCGGAUUUAUUGGGUUUAAAGGGUGCGUAGGCGGAAUAUCAAGUCAGCGGUAAAAAUUCGGGGCUCAACCCCGUCGUGCCGUUGAAACUGAUGUUCUUGAGUGGGCGAGAAGUAUGCGGAAUGCGUGGUGUAGCGGUGAAAUGCAUAGAUAUCACGCAGAACUCCGAUUGCGAAGGCAGCAUACCGGCGCUCAACUGACGCUCAUGCACGAAAGCGUGGGUAUCGAACAGGAUUAGAUACCCUGGUAGUCCACGCAGUAAACGAUGAAUACUAACUGUCCGGGCCGAUUGAGGUCUGGGUGGUACAGCGAAAGCGUUAAGUAUUCCACCUGGGGAGUACGCCGGCAACGGUGAAACUCAAAGGAAUUGACGG